rnacentral:misc_RNA from 1 species
AAGAGUUGCAAAACUCCCAAACCAUUGUGAACAUACCUUCAACGUUGCUUCGGCGGGUUGGCCCCGGUCUCCGGGGUCCCCGGCCCUACUCGGGCGCCCGCCGGAGGUAUCUAACUCUUGAACUUUUAUGGCCUCUCUGAGUCUUUGUACUUAAUAAGUCA